rnacentral:rRNA from 1 species
UACAGAGGUCUCAAGCGUUGUUCGGAUUCAUUGGGCGUAAAGGGUGCGUAGGUGGUGUCGUAAGUCGGGUGUGAAAUCCCGGGGCUCAACCCCGGAACUGCAUUCGAUACUGCGGUGCUCGAGGACUGGAGAGGAGAUCGGAAUUCACGGUGUAGCAGUGAAAUGCGUAGAUAUCGUGAGGAAGGCCAGUGGCGAAGGCGGAUCUCUGGACAGUUCCUGACACUGAGGCACGAAGGCCAGGGGAGCAAAC